rnacentral:lncRNA from 1 species
GAAUGUUUAUAAUAUUCACAGUAGCCAAAAGGUGGAAACAACUCAAAUGUUUAUCAAUGAAUGAAUUAUCAGUAUGUUGUAAAUCCAUUUAACGGAAUAUCAUUCAGCAAUAAAAAGAAUGAAAUGUUAACAGAUGCUUAAACUCAGAUGGACCUUGAAAACAUUAUGCUAAGUGAAAGAAGCCAGUCACAAAAGACCACAUAUAAUAUGAUUCUAUUUAUAUUAAGUAUCCAGAAUAGGCAAGUGUGUAGAGACAUAAAGUAUUAAUGGUUGCCUAGGACUGGGGUGAAUGAGGAUUGGGGAGAAAUACUUUAAGUGUAUCAUGGUUCUUUUUAGGAUGAUAAUAAUGUUCUAAAAUUGAUUGUGAUAAUGAUUUCACAACUUUGGGAAUACACUAAAAACCAUUGAAUUGUAUAAUUUCAGUGGGUAAAUUGUUUGGUAUGUGAAUUAUGUCUCAAUAAAACUGCUACAAAAGAAUCAAAGUGAAGGACAUAAAACAAUACCUGAGCAACUUGAAAAAAAGUUUUUAAAAAUGAAGUACAUAUUAUAAAAAUAUUAACGAUGCCAAAAUUAAUUUACAAAUUUAAUGAACUUUCAGUUAGAAUACAACUACUGAGAGCUAGAAUUCUUAAAAUUGGUUAAAAAUAAUUUAAAAGAUUACAUAAUAAAUGUCUGAGUAUAUCCAAUAAAAUAGUAGAAAAGGCAAAUAGAACUUGCCUUAGUAGCUAUAGAAUGUAUCAGAAAGCCACUAUAAUUAAAACAGUAUAGUAUUGCUAUAAAAUUAUGAAAUUAGGUUAUUUAAAAUAAUAAAGAUAUUUGAUGCAUAGUGUAUGCUUACAGGGUUUUGAUGAGUGAAAGGUAUCACCCAUGAAUUUUAUACUCCGGAGUUUUCAUUUAUGUGUGAAGGUAUUUAAAAUAAUUUCUUGCAUGUACAUAGACUUAAGAUGUGGAAAACAAUUAUCGACAUAUUUCAUGUUAUUUAAAAGCAAUAAAAGUACUCAUAGAUGAGGAUGUUGGAAUAUAAAAGGAUUGAAGAGAGUUUUGAAAAUCUAAAAGCAAUGGUAAACAUGGCUUCAGAAUAUAUUACACUUCUUAUGAGUAUAUUAUAUUUUUGGAGAGCAUAUUUAAAAUAAUAGACACUAGAUCAUACCAGCUCAAAUUAGCAGAUAGGAGGAUGUGUAAAAAUGUUCUCAUUUUACAUAACUACUGUCUCAUUCUAAUGCUGAUCAUCAAGUAAAUAUAGAUUUAGGAAUUAUUUAAAAAUUAAAAUUAGGACCUUAUAUGAAUAAAUACGUUUCUUUGCCAAUAUUGCUUUUGUCUUUACACACAAUAUCUAUUACACGUACAUUGGUGAACAUACAAUAAUUCUGUCUUUCUAGUCAUAUAUAUUCAUUGUAGGACUGUAAAUAAAACAUCCUGUUCUCCUUAGCCAAGGAGUAGUUGUAUGUCCCAGACUAGUGAAUUCAUACCUUAUUCACAUCCUCAGAUUCUCUUGGCCUCUUGCGUCUCUUGGAUUCCCAACUUCUUGAUCUGUCUCGCCUUUUGUGAAUUCAGAUUAAAUGCAACGCCUUAGGGUUUGGGGUAUGUUUUCCUGAAUGGCUUCUGAGGAGCUGAAUAAUGUAAC